UACGAAGGGGGCUAGCGUUGCUCGGAAUCACUGGGCGUAAAGGGUGCGUAGGCGGGUCUUUAAGUCAGGGGUGAAAUCCUGGAGCUCAACUCCAGAACUGCCUUUGAUACUGAAGAUCUUGAGUUCGGGAGAGGUGAGUGGAACUGCGAGUGUAGAGGUGAAAUUCGUAGAUAUUGGGAGGAACACCAGUGGCGAAGGCGGCUCACUGGACCGGUACUGACGCUGAUGCGCGAAAGCGUGGGGAGCAAACGGG
rnacentral:rRNA from 1 species